rnacentral:rRNA from 1 species
AACGAACGCUGGCGGCAUGCUUAACACAUGCAAGUCGAACGUGAAGGGGGCUUCGGCCCCUGGAAAGUGGCGCACGGGUGAGUAACACGUGGAUAAUCUACCCGAUGAUCUGGAAUAACACUUCGAAAGGGGUGCUAAUACCGGAUAAGCUCACGACGUCUUCGGACGACGCGGGAAAAGGGGGCGCAAGCUCCUGUCAUCGGAUGAGUCCGCGGCCCAUUAGCUAGUUGGUAGGGUAAUGGCCUACCAAGGCGACGAUGGGUAGCUGGCCUGGGAGGAUGGUCGGCCACACUGGAACUGAGACACGGUCCAGAGUCCUACGGGAGGCAGCAGUGGGGAAUUUUGCGCAAUGGGCGAAAGCGUGACGCAGCAAUGCCGCGUGAGUGAUGAAGGCCUUCGGGUCGUAAAGCUCUGUCAGAGGGGAAGAACUUCCCGUCGGUUAAUACCCGGCGGGCCUGACGGUACCCUCAAAGGAAGCACCGGCUAACUCCGUGCCAGCAGCCGCCGUAACAC